UACGGAGGGUGCAAGCGUUAUCCGGAUUUACUGGGUUUAAAGGGAGCGUAGGUGGGUCGGUAAGUCAGUGGUGAAAUCUUCGAGCUUAACUCGGAAACUGCCAUUGAUACUAUCGAUCUUGAAUUAUCUGGAGGUAAGCGGAAUAUGUCAUGUAGCGGUGAAAUGCUUAGAUAUGACAUAGAACACCCAUUGCGAAGGCAGCUUACUACGGAUACAUUGACACUGAGGCUCGAAAGCGUGGGGAUCAAACAGGG
rnacentral:rRNA from 1 species